GGAAAAGCAGCACUGCCCCGCCCCUUCACGCAGACCACAGCUCCAGCGCAUCCAUCCGAGAGCAGCACCGAGCACACUAGCUGCGGAGUCCAGGGGUCUCCCACAGCUGGGGGGACCUUCUGGGGAUGCAGAGACACCUGGGACUAGGAGGUGGGCACUGAGAGAAAGCCCUGUAUGGCCGGGUAAGAGGCAGGCGGGGAGAAUGGCCUCACCCUGCCUGCCUGGCUGCCGGGGCGCUGUGAGGAGCGAAUGAGGUGAGGCGGUGCAAGCCCCGUUGGAGGUUCCACAUCCCCUGCGGUUUUGGUGAUUCUAUCAGGCAAUGUAGCAGAG
rnacentral:lncRNA from 1 species